UCGGCUUUAAAAAUCUCACCUCUGCCAUGAUCGUGCUACUUCAAUGUUCUCAGCCUUAGUUUUCUCCUUGUUCAAGGGGACGGUAAAACCCACAUGGAAGGAUGAAAUAAGAUAACAUCUGUCAAGGGCAAAGAAAUAAACAGUGACUUGCAAGUUUCAGAGUGAGGAAAGGAUGGUAAUAAUAACCAAGUAUUGAAGCAAGCUAAAUGCUUGGAAAAGCAUUCCAUACAUUGGAAGAGCCCUAAGAUGCAUCAGUUCCUAUAUUUUUAUGUGAAUUCAUAUAGUAUUUAAUAUUUAUGGCUUCUGUGAUAAUAUUUUAAGUGAUAACUUAAUUAUCACCUAAAGUGAUAAUUUUAAGUGAAACUUUCAAAAUUGGUAGAUAUUAGGCAUGCUAUUAAAAUACUCUGUGCAUUUCUGAGCAAAGAUUAUUAUAUUCAGCCUGCACACAUCAAGUAGAAGUAGCUCUGACCUUUUAGAAAAUACCAGCAAUGGGAAACAGAUGUAUUUUUUACAUCGAGUCAUUGCAACUUCAUCAGAUAAUUUGCAUAUGUUUAACUUCAUCAUUGUUAAAGCUAAGCAUGUUAUUUACAAAAAAAAAUUUUCUUCAUCAGCAAGGCAAAAUAGCUCCCUUAAUUAAUAUAAUAUUAGUGUUUUAGCAAAGAAUCCAUCACGCCAACAUGAAAACCAAUAUUUUUCUGGCCUUUGGUCAAAAUUCGCUGGGCUUGGUCAUUGUUGAAGUGGCCCUUCCCCUGUGUGUUCCUGAUCAAGACCCUUAUUUUUUGACUUGAAAACAUGAAAACAAAUUCCGGUAUUGAAUAGCUGGGAAACACCAGGCCUCCUCUGCAAAUCUUCUCAGAGAAAGUUUCUUUUGUGUUGGCUGCUGAAUUCCUC
rnacentral:lncRNA from 1 species